UGAUAAAUGGUCAUGUCAAUGCAAAUGCAAAUAGAACCGAUUAUUGCAUGACAUUUCAAAAAAAAACCAUGCACCUUCAAAGCACUUGAAUAGACAAAACCAUUCAGCAUCACA